GAGAGUCUCGUCCUAGGCCCCCCUCGGAGGAUUUAAGGCGGCCUCAGCCUUCCCGAAGGAAGCGGGGAUGUCAGUGCACGUGAGCAUCACGCGUGCGGGUCACUGGGUGGCGCGCGGGGCACCAGACGUCAGCCCAACUGCAGUUACCAUAAAGUUAUCAAGCCCCGACUUUCUCAGCUUGGGGAGCUUUGAAAGGAAUCCGAAGGUGGUGUUAUUUGACUUCGAGUCUCGGG